AUUUUAUGGUCAAGCUACUAAGGGUGGACGGUGGAUGCCUUGGCGCAGAGAAGCGAUGAAGGACGUGGCAAGCUGCGAUAAGCCUCGGGGAGCCGCAAACAGGCUUUGAUCCGGGGAUUUCCGAAUGGGGCAACCCCUCUGAAGGCAAGUUCAGAGAUCCCCUGCUGAAUGCAUAGGCAGGGAGAAGCAAACCCGGGGAAGUGAACCAUCUCAGUACCCGGAGGAAAAGAAAGCAAUUGCGAUUCCGUCAGUAGCGGCGAGCGAAAGCGGAACAGCCCAAACCUCGAGGGCUUCGGUUCUCGGGGGGUUGUGGGGCGGAGUACGGCGCAAGCCAGGAAGUCAACAAGAACCCGUCUAGUCGAAGGUCACUGGAAAGUGCCGCCAGAGAGGGUGACAGCCCCGUAGGCGAAAGACGAGGUUCCUUCCCAUUCCGUUCCCGAGUACCACGGGGCACGAGAAACCUUGUGGGAAUCCGGGUGGACCAUCACCCAAGGCUAAACAUUACUCUGCGACCGAUAGUGAACCAGUACCGUGAGGGAAAGGUGAAAAGAACCCCUGUGAGGGGAGUGAAAUAGUACCUGAACCCGUCCAUCUACAAGCAGUGGGACCACCAUGUCGCAAGACGGUGGAACCGCGUGCCUUUUGCAUAAUGAGCCGGCUAGUUAAUUUCAGCGGCAAGGCGAAGCGUCGUGCUGAGCCGGAGCGAAAGCGAGUCUGAAUAGGGCGAUUCAGUCGCUGGGAUUACACGCGAAGCGGGAUGAUCUAACCAUGGCCAGGGUGAAGCUGCGGUAACACGCAGUGAAGGCCCGAACUGGUGUUGGUUGAAAACAACUCGGAUGAGCUGUGGUUAGGGGUGAAAGGCUAAUCAAAUUCCGUUAUAGCUCGUUCUCUCCGAAAUAGCUUUAGGGCUAGCCUCGCAUGAUUGACGACGGUGGUAGAGCUCUGGAUGGACUAGGGGCGUUUCCACGUUACCAAAUCCAACCAAACUCCGAAUGCCGUUGAUCACAGUGCGGGAGUCAGACAGUGGGGGAUAAGCUUCAUUGUCGAGAGGGAAAGAACCCAGACCGCCCGCUAAGGUCCCCAAAUCGUUGCUAAGUGGAAAAGGAUGUGGAGACGCCCAGACAGCCAGGAGGUUGGCUUAGAAGCAGCCAUCCUUUAAAGAAAGCGUAACAGCUCACUGGUCAAGCGGCUCCGUGCCGACAAUUCAACGGGGCUAAAGCAACGUACCGAAGCGGCGGAUGUCUCGAGGCUUCGGCCGAGAGACGUGGUAGGAGAGCAUUCCUAGCGCAGCGAAGUCGGACCGCGAGGACCGAUGGAGCGCUCGGAAGAGACCCUGCCGGCACAAGUAGCGAUAAAGCAGUUGAGAGCACUGCUCGCCGUAAAUCUAAGGAUUCCUGAGCAAGGUUAAUCCGCUCAGGGUCAGUCGGUCCCUAAGGCGAGGCCGAAAGGCGUAGCCGAUGGAAAUCCGGUUAAUAUUCCGGAACCGCUUGUUUGUCGUUAUCACCGAGGGGGGGACGCAGGAGGCUAGGCGUACCGGGUGUUGGAUGUCCUGGGCCAAGCUCGUAGGCGGAGGGGAUAGGUAAAUCCGUUCCCUUAUUCAACGCCGAGAAGCGAUGGGGAGGCCGUCAGGCCGCAAACUCGCCGAUGCCACGCUGCCGAGAAAAUCCUCUAGGGAGAUGAACGGGUGACCGUACCGCAAACCGACACAGGUAGAUGAGGAGAGAAUCCUAAGGCGCUCGAGUGAAGCGUUGCGAAGGAACUCGGCAAAUUAACACCGUAACUUCGGGAGAAGGUGUGCCCUGGAGCGUUCAGAGAUUUACUCUCGAAGGCGCACUGGGGUCUCAGUAAAACGGGCCAAGCGACUGUUUACUAAAAACACAGGACUCUGCAAAGUCGUAAAACGACGUAUAGGGUCUGACGCCUGCCCGGUGCUGGAAGGUUAAGGGGAGAGGUUAGCCGCAAGGCAAAGCUUUGAACCGAAGCCCCAGUAAACGGCGGCCGUAACUAUAACGGUCCUAAGGUAGCGAAAUUCCUUGUCGGGUAAGUUCCGACCUGCACGAAUGGCGUAACGAUUUGGUCACUGUCUCCGCAACGCGCUCGGCGAAUCUGUAGCACCGGUGAAGAUGCCGGUUACCCGCACGUAGACGGAAAGACCCUGUGCACCUUUACUAUACCCAGGCAUUGAAUUUUGGCGUUGUCUGCGCAGGAUAGGUGGGACACUUUGAACCUGGGGUUUCGGCCUCGGGGGAGUGGACGGUGAGAUACCACCCUGAUGGCGCCGGAGUUCUAACUGAGACCCGUAAUCCGGGUCCAGGACCAUGCCUGGCGGGUAGUUUGACUGGGGCGGUCGCCUCCUAAAAAGUAACGGAGGCGCCCAAAGGUUCUCUCAGGCUGAUUGGAAACCAGCCGUAGAGUGCAAAGGCAGAAGAGAGCUUGACUGCGAGACCGACAAGUCGAGCAGGUACGAAAGUAGGGCUUAGUGAUCCGGUGGUUCUGUAUGGAAGGGCCAUCGCUCAACGGAUAAAAGGUACGCCGGGGAUAACAGGCUGAUCUUGCCCAAGAGUUCA
rnacentral:rRNA from 1 species